UACGUAGGGUGCAAGCGUUAUUCGGAAUUACUGGGCGUAAAGCGUGCGCAGGCGGUUAUUUAAGUCAGUUGUGAAAUCCCCGGGCUUAACCUGGGAACUGCAUCUGUGACUGCAUAGCUAGAGUACGGUAGAGGGGGAUGGAAUUCCGCGUGUAGCAGUGAAAUGCGUAGAUAUGCGGAGGAACACCGAUGGCGAAGGCAAUCCCCUGGACCUGUACUGACGCUCAUGCACGAAAGCGUGGGGAGCGAACAGG
rnacentral:rRNA from 1 species